rnacentral:rRNA from 1 species
UUGACCUCGGAUCAGGUAGGGAUACCCGCUGAACUUAAGCAUAUCAAUAAGCGGGGAGGA